rnacentral:rRNA from 1 species
CCUACGGGAGGCAGCAGUGAGGAAUAUUGGACAAUGGGCGCAAGCCUGAUCCAGCCAUGCCGCGUGCAGGAAGACGGUCCUAUGGAUUGUAAACUGCUUUUAUACAGGAAGAAAUACUUUCUCGUGAGAGAGCUUGACGGUACUGUAAGAAUAAGGAUCGGCUAACUCCGUGCCAGCAGCCGCGGUAAUACGGAGGAUCCAAGCGUUAUCCGGAAUCAUUGGGUUUAAAGGGUCCGUAGGCGGUUUAAUAAGUCAGUGGUGAAAUCUGGUCGCUCAACGAUCAAACGGCCAUUGAUACUGUUAGACUUGAAUUAUUGUGAAGUAACUAGAAUAUGUAGUGUAGCGGUGAAAUGCUUAGAUAUUACAUGGAAUACCAAUUGCGAAGGCAGGUUACUAACAAUGGAUUGACGCUGAUGGACGAAAGCUGGGGAGCGAACAGGAUUAGAUACCCUGGUAGUCCCACGACCGUAACGAGUAGAGUACUAGUCGUGUUGGGUCGGCGAACGUUACGUAGUAGGUCGUAACGUACGAAAGGUAGAGUAAGUAAGUACCCUACCCGUACGGGUAGGUACGGUUACGUCGAAGAAGUAGAAACGUUAAAGUUAAGUAAGUUAGUACGGACGUAGAGACGUAGACCGACGGACGACGACGAGGGGAGGAGGG